CCAUGGCCGUCGAUUGAAAGGCGGAGCACCCGACGGAUCAGCGAUGGCAGACAGGCACUCCUCCAGCCGGAGUCGAGUCACCGCGUCGGAAGCACCGCCGCGGGGCGGGUGUUGAGUUACGGCAAACAGCCAUCUGGUCUGCGGCUCAGUCGCACUUGUGCAGCCACGGCCGUCGGUUGAAAGGCGGAGUACCCGACGGACCAGCGAUGUCAGACAGACAUUCCUCCAGCCGGUGUCGAGUCACCGCGGCGGCGCUCCUGCCGCUGCUGUUGCUGUACACCCUGCCGACCAGCCAGUCGCUCCCUCUUGAGCACUUGCCUGUUGGAAUGGUGUCCCGACCAAAUGACGUCCAUGCACAAUCGAUCGUGAUCAGCUGUCCGGAAGGCAGCCGCAGCUGCGGAAACGGGUACUGCUGCCCGACAAGGGGACGUCCAGUAAGAAGCUGUCCAUCGGGCCAAGUCUACGUUUCUGGUGUCGGCUGCCUCUCUUUGUUUGCCUAGCCCCGUUUGGUGGACGCGUAGGC